rnacentral:lncRNA from 1 species
UGUUCAUGGAAAGCCCUUUCCAAUUGAGUCCAAUGCUGAAUCGAACGGGGGGGCAGAGUUGUGAACCAAGUGAAAGCAUUUUUUGUAAGGGAAUUUGGGAAAUAUUUCAACCUUAAAUUUUCAUUAUCUGCCAAAUUUCCUGCUUCGGCAAAAAAUCUUGCCACAUGUUCCACUGUUGACUCAGUUGUGUCCCCAGCAAACUU